rnacentral:rRNA from 1 species
AGUCUGACGGAGCAACGCCGCGUGAGUGAUGAAGGCUUUCGGGUCGUAAAACUCUGUUGUUAGGGAAGAACAAGUGCUAGUUGAAUAAGCUGGCACCUUGACGGUACCUAACCAGAAAGCCACGGCUAACUACGUGCCAGCAGCCGCGGUAAUACGUAGGUGGCAAGCGUUAUCCGGAAU